rnacentral:rRNA from 1 species
GCGGCGGACGGGUGAGUAACACGUGGGUAACCUGCCCGUAAGACCGGGAUAACUCCGGGAAACCGGGGCUAAUACCGGAUAACACCGGGGGCCGCAUGGCUUCCGGUUGAAAGGCGGCCUUUGGCUGCCACUUACGGAUGGGCCCGCGGCGCAUUAGCUGGUUGGCGGGGUAACGGCCCACCAAGGCGACGAUGCGUAGCCGGCCUGAGAGGGUGGACGGCCACACUGGGACUGAGACACGGCCCAGACUCCUACGGGAGGCAGCAGUAGGGAAUCUUCCGCAAUGGGCGAAAGCCUGACGGAGCGACGCCGCGUGAGCGAGGAAGGCCUUCGGGUCGUAAAGCUCUGUUGUCAGGGAAGAAGGCGUGCCGUUCGAAUAGGGCGGCGCGGUGACGGUACCUGACAAGGAAGCCCCGGCUAACUACGUGCCACCAGCCGCGGUAAAAC